AAGCUCGUAGUUGAAUUUCGGGGUUAGUAGGUUGGUCAUGCCUCUGGUAUGUACUGGUCUCACUGAUUCCUCCUUCCUGAUGAACCGUAAUGCCGUUAAUUUGGUGUUGCGGGGAAUUUGGACUGUUACUUUGAAAAAUUAGAGUGUUUAAAGCAAGCUAACGCUUGAAUACAUUAGCAUGGAAUAAUGAAAUAGGACGUUCGAUCCUAUUUUGUUGGUUUCUAGGAUUGACGUAAUGAUUAAUAGGGAUAGUUGGGGGCAUUAGUAUUCAAUUGUCAGAGGUGAAAUUCUUGGAUUUAUUGAAGACUAACUACUGCGAAAGCAUUUGCCAAGGAUGUUUUCAUUAAUCAAGAACGAAAGUUAGGGGAUCGAAGACGAUCAGAUACCGUCGUAGUCUUAACCAUAAACUAUGCCGACUAGGGAUCGGAUGAUGUUAAUUUUUUAAUGACUCAUUCGGCGCCUUACGGGAAACCAAAGUGUUUGGGUUCCGGGGGGAGUAUGGUCGCAAGGCUGAAACUUAAAGGAAUUGACGGAAGGGCACCACCAGGGGUGGAGCCUGCGGCUUAAUUUGACUCAACACGGGGAAACUCACCAGGUCCAGACAUAGUAAGGAUUGACAGAUUGAGAGCUCUUUCUUGAUUCUAUGGGUG
rnacentral:rRNA from 1 species